rnacentral:lncRNA from 1 species
GUUCUCCCCAAGCUGGGGGACACCAGAACCCAACUGGGGCACAGCAGGACCCUGAUGGGUGCAGUAGGACCCCACUGGGCUUCACUAGAACCCCGUUUCUCCCUGUUGUGGUAUAGCAGAACCCCAUUUCCCCUGUUGGGAUACAGCAGGAUCCCAUUUGUCCCUGUUGGGGUUCACUAGAACCCCAUCUCCCCACACUGGAUGCAGCAGGACCCCACUGGGACACAGCAGGAUCCCAAUGGGGCUCACCAGGACCCCAUUUCUCCCCACUGGGGUUCACUGGAACCCUGUUUGUCACCGUUGGGGUUCACUAGAACCCCAUUUCCCCGUGCUGGGUGCAGCAGGACCCUGUUUUUCCCUGCUAGGGUUCACUAUCCUGUUUCUCCCCGUUGUGGUGCACCAGAACCCUGUUUCCCCCCCCUGGCAUACAGCAGGACCACAGUGGGGUUCACCAGGAUCCCAUUUCUUCUCACUGGGAUACAGCAGGACUCCAUUUGUCCCCACUGGGAACCCCAUUUCCUCAAGCUGGAUGCACCAGCACCCCGUUUCCUCCUGUUGGGAUGGAGCAAGACCCCACUGGCAUUCACUAAGACCCGUUUCCCCUCACUGGGAUGCAGCAGGACCCCACUGGGUUCACCAGGGCCCUGUUUCCCCAUUCAGGGGUUCACUAGGACCCUGUUUCUCCCCACUGCAGUGCAGCAGAACCCCUUUUCCUCCCACUGGGUGCAGUAGGACCCCAUUAGGGCUCACCAGGACCCCAUUCCCCUGCUCUGGGGUUCACCAGGACCCCGAUUCCCCGCGUUGGAUGCAGCAGGACCCCGCUGGGGUUCACCAGGACCCCUUUUCUCCACGUUGCGGUGCAGCAAAAACCCCGCUUCUCCUCGCGCUGGGGUCCCCCAGAACCCCGUUUCCCGGGGCUGGGGUUCCCCGUUUCCCCUUUUCCCGGUGCUCUCUCUCCUCACUGGAGUUCCCCGCUCCUUGUUCCCCAUUACCCGUUUCCCGUUCCUCACUCUCACCCCGCUUCCCAUUCCCCGUUCCCUGUUCCCGUUCUCUCUCUCCUUUCUGGGUUUCCCCGUUCCCCCCGCUGUUUCCCCGUUCCCGUUUCUCCCUCUCUCCCCGUUCUCUCUGCCUCUCUCCCCGUGGGGGGCCGGGUUCCCCCUUCCCGUUUCUCUCUCUCCCCGUUCCCUGUUGUUUCCCCGUUCCCUUUUUUCUCUCUCUCUCCCCGCUGGGUCUCCCGUUCCCGUUCCUCUCUCUCCCGUUCCCGUUUCUGUCUCCCCGUUUCCCCGUUAUUUCUCCNNNNNNNNNNNNNNNNNNNNNNNNNNNNNNNNNNNNNNNNNNNNNNNNNNNNNNNNN